rfam:Gaeumannomyces graminis var. tritici R3-111a-1 unplaced genomic scaffold supercont2.6, whole genome shotgun sequence.
AAUUGUAUGGCGCAAUGGUAACGCACUUGUUUUUAUAACGGGAAGACCUGGGUUCGACUCCCGGUGCGACUU